rnacentral:rRNA from 1 species
UUAGAGUUUGAUUCUGGCUCAGGAUGAACGCUAGCGGCAGGCUUAACACAUGCAAGUCGAGGGGCAGCAUGUCCAGCAAUGGAUGAUGGCGACCGGCGGAAGGGUGCGUAACGCGUGAGCAACAUGCCCUAUACAGGGAGAUACACCAGGGAAACUUGGUCUAAUAUCCCAUAGCAUUCAUUGAAGGCAUCUUUAAUGAAUUAAAGCUUCGGUGGUAUAGGAUUGGCUCGCGUGACAUUAGCCAGAUGGUGAGGUAACGGCUCACCAUAGCAAUGAUGUCUAGGGGUUUUGAGAGGAAGGCCCCCCACACUGGGACUGAGACACGGCCCAGACUCCUACGGGAGGCAGCAGUGAGGAAUAUUGGACAAUGGAUGGAAAUCUGAUCCAGCCAUGCCGCGUGCAGGAAGACGGCCUUAUGGGUUGUAAACUGCUUUUAUACGGGAGCAAUAAGGGUUACGAGUAAUCCGAUGAGAGUACUGUAUGAAUAAGGAUCGGCUAACUCCGUGCCAGCAGCCGCGGUAAUACGGAGGAUCCGAGCGUUAUCCGGAUUUAUUGGGUUUAAAGGGUGCGUAGGCGGAAAUGUAAGUCAGUGGUGAAAUCCUGCAGCUUAACUGUAGAAUAGCCGUUGAAACUGUGUUUCUUGAGUACAUUUGAGGUAGGCGGAAUGUGGUGUGUAGCGGUGAAAUGCAUAGAUAUACCACAGAACACCGAUUGCGAAGGCAGCUUACUAAACUGUCACUGACGCUGAUGCACGAAAGCGUGGGUAUCAAACAGGAUUAGAUACCCCGGUAGUCCACGCUGUAAACGAUGAUUACUGGUUGUUUGCGAUACACUGCAAGUGACUGAGCGAAAGCAUCAAGUAAUCCACCUGGGGAGUACGUCGGCAACGAUGAAACUCAAAGGAAUUGACGGGGGCCCGCACAAGCGGAGGAACAUGUGGUUUAAUUCGAUGAUACGCGAGGAACCUUACCUGGGUUUAAAUGGGGAGUGACAGGCUUGGAAACAGGCCCUUCUUCGGACACUCUUCAAGGUGCUGCAUGGUUGUCGUCAGCUCGUGCCGUGAGGUGUCGGGUUAAGUCCCAUAACGAGCGCAACCCCUAUCGAUAGUUACCAGCACGUUACGGUGGGGACUCUAUCGAGACUGCCGGUGUAAACCGUGAGGAGGGGGGGGAGGACGUCAAAUCAGCACGGCCCUUACAUCCAGGGCUACACACGUGUUACAAUGGCCGGUACAAAGGGCAGCUACACAGCGAUGUGAUGCUAAUCUCCAAAUCCGGUCUCAGUUCGGAUCGAAGUCUGCAACCCGACUUCGUGAAGCUGGAUUCGCUAGUAAUCGCGCAUCAGCCAUGGCGC